GCAGUCGAACGAUGAAGCCCUUCGGGGUGGAUUAGUGGCGAACGGGUGAGUAACACGUGGGCAAUCUGCCCUUCACUCUGGGACAAGCCCUGGAAACGGGGUCUAAUACCGGAUACGACCUGCCGAGGCAUCUCGGCGGGUGGAAAGCUCCGGCGGUGAAGGAUGAGCCCGCGGCCUAUCAGCUUGUUGGUGGGGUAACGGCCCACCAAGGCGACGACGGGUAGCCGGCCUGAGAGGGCGACCGGCCACACUGGGACUGAGACACGGCCCAGACUCCUACGGGAGGCAGCAGUGGGGAAUAUUGCACAAUGGGCGCAAGCCUGAUGCAGCGACGCCGCGUGAGGGAUGACGGCCUUCGGGUUGUAAACCUCUUUCAGCAGGGAAGAAGCGCAAGUGACGGUACCUGCAGAAGAAGCGCCGGCUAACUACGUGCCAGCAGCCGCGGUAAUACGUAGGGCGCAAGCGUUGUCCGGAAUUAUUGGGCGUAAAGAGCUCGUAGGCGGCUUGUCACGUCGGGUGUGAAAGCCCGGGGCUUAACCCCGGGUCUGCAUCCGAUACGGGCAGGCUAGAGUGUGGUAGGGGAGAUCGGAAUUCCUGGUGUAGCGGUGAAAUGCGCAGAUAUCAGG
rnacentral:rRNA from 1 species